UACGUAGGGUGCGAGCGUUGUCCGGAAUUAUUGGGCGUAAAGGGCUCGUAGGCGGUUUGUCGCGUCGGGAGUGAAAACCAUGGGCUUAACUCAUGGCUUGCUUCCGAUACGGGCAGACUAGAGGCAUGCAGGGGAGAACGGAAUUCCUGGUGUGAGCGGUGAAAUGCGCAGAUAUCAGGAGGAACACCGGUGGCGAAGGCGGUUCUCUGGGCAUGUCCUGACGCUGAGGAGCGAAAGUGUGGGGAGCGAACAGG
rnacentral:rRNA from 1 species